GCAGCUGGAGUUCCCCGACAACUGGAGGUGGCGGCGGCGGCCGCAAAAAGCAGCAAGCGGUACGCGGUAGUUGUUCGCGGCAGCGGCGGCAGCUCCUCCUCCUCCUCCUCCUCCUCCUGCCCCUUUCGCGGAGUCCCUCCGCAGUAGAGCCCAGCCCCCGCCUCUCCGCUCGCUCCUCCUUAUUGACAAAUACACAAAGGGCCGCGCCGGGCUGGAGACGCGUCUGGAGCCGGCAUGGGAGACAAGAAGAGCCCCACAAGGCCGAAGCGGCAGCCGAAACCCUCCUCAGACGAGGGCUAUUGGGACUGCAGCGUGUGCACCUUCCGGAACAGCGCCGAGGCCUUCAAGUGCAUGAUGUGCGAUGUGAGGAAGGGCACCUCCACCCGAUACAUUUCAGUGCAUGGAAAAUUCUGUAUGAUGAACAAACAGAAGUCUGUUGUGCACCAGCAUCAGAGGAAAAAAAUGCUGAGGAAACCUCGACCUGUCUCUCAGCUGGUUGCGCAACAAGUUACCCAGCAAUUUGUGCCCCCUACGCAAUCAAAGAAAGAGAAAAAAGACAAAGUAGAAAAGGAAAAAAGUGAAAAGGAAACUACUAGCAAAAAGAACAGUCAUAAGAAAACCAGGACGGAGGGUGAUGAUCAUAUGGGAAAGACCCACACAAUCAGCCCUACCCACAUAGUUGUGAUAUUCAAACACUUCCCAGCAACAUUGGAUCACACCAUGGGGAAGUGGAUCCCACAAAGCUGAGUGUGUUUAUUUGGAGAGGGUCUGAAAUGUAGCUGUAUCUAUGCCCAUAUGAUGCUGGACACAUUAUGCAUUUAAUCUAUAUGUAUAAAAAUGAUUGGGCUUAUUUACUUAUUGACAGGAGUAUCAUAUUUGUACAUGUAUUCCACAAUUAAUAAAAAAAACCCUGAAAUUUAGUAUUCACAUGGUACAACAUAGAUUUCUAGAAAAAUCUGAAACCAGGGUACAUUUAUCUCUUUAAAUUUAGGACAUAAAAUCUGCCUUAUAACAGUGACCACCAUUUCAGCAAGAUGCAAACUAAGCCAUUGGCUCUGGGCCUCCCCCUUCAAAUAUUUAUGUGGCCUCAGCUUGAAGAAAGGGAAAUUUGCUGUGACAGUCAAGGAUAGCGUGAAUUCCUGCUGCCCUCCUUAACUGCACUUGUUACCUUGACAGCAAAAUUAACAACAGUUCAGGUAGGCCCUAUUACCACUUAAUCAAGAUUUAAAAUGGGUCCAUCUUAUUGCCCAUUCAGUAUCUACCUGAGGCCACUGGGAAAGUUUGUAUGUAAAUCUGUGGUAAGAUGUAGCUAAUAUGCUGAUGACACACAGUUAGAUCUUACCCUUUCCUCUGAUCCCCAUGUAGCACUGGGAUCCCUGAACUGUUAUUUGGAAAGGGUGAUUGGCUAAUCCAUCCAGAUAAGAUGAACAUGUUGAUGGUAGACUGUCCACCUGAGCUAGGAAUAGCUGUGCAGCCUGUUCUAAACAGGGUCACACUCCCAGUGAAAGAGCAGGUUUUCAGCUUGGCAGUGAUUCUUGAUCUGAUUUGCAGGUUGUGGUAGUAGUAGUAGGAGGAGUGUUUUCCUCCCCAGGUAUGCCUGAUGUGCUGGCUGCAAAAUUUCCUGGGAAAUGAGCAUUUUGCCACUGGUACAUGUAGCAACCUCAUUUGGACUACUAUAAUGUACUCUAUGUGUGCUGACUUUGAUGAGUUUCUGAAAACUUCAGUUGGUCCAGAAUGCAGCAGCUGGACUACUCUCUGGAGCUAGCUGAAGGGCCCGUAAAACUCAUAUCAUUAAGCAGGUGCAUGGGUUGCCACUUUGUUUCUUUGAAGUGAUGGUGGUGAACAUGUGGCUGGUCAAAAAAUUGUGGACUUCAGUGUCUAUCAGCUUCAGCCAGCAUGGCCAAUGUCAGGGAUAAUCAGGGAUGGAAUCUUAACAACAUGUAGAAGGCCAC